CGCCUGGCCAUUUAUUUUUAUUUUUAAAAACUACCUAUUUUCCUUUUUUAUAACUUUUUUUUCACAAUGUUCUGGUCAACACUAUAGUCACCUGGGGCCUCUAAGGACUGAAAUGUAUGAGAAGGCUCAUUUGCAUGGCUGACAGUUACUGCAGGCUCUUGCCUGGAAUCUCAGCUGGGGCUGCCAAGUGGAGUUUUACUACCUCUGGUGUGAAGGCUGGGAAAUGGCAAGUGGGAAGUUGGUUGAUAAAAUUAGGAGUUUGGCUGUCUUUAUUACUACUUUUUUUUUUUUUUUGCUCUCCCCAUCUCUCAUUUUAUGAACAUCGACCCAGUUCGUCAUGGUUUAAAUAAACUGCUUGUCUUGUACCUGCCUUAACAAAACUAGCCAUGGGUCGUUGGGAGACUUAGUUGCUUCCUAGGCAGUUUGAGGGCAUCUAGGGUGGAAAAGUUAACCGAGAGAGCGAGCAUCUACCUCACUGGCAGGAUCUGGGAUUCCCAAAUGGAAUGACACGGAAGCUAUGAGAUUCUCUCGAAGUCGAAACUUUUUUCCCCCUCCCGAAUGCGAAGACUUCCUUUUUGCAAUAUUUGAGCAGGGCUUCAAAACCAACCUGUUUUUGUUAUUAAGCCUGUACGGUAAAGAAACAGGAAGGAGAGUACCAGCUGUCUUGCUGCAGUGGUUUUAAAUGGAGUUGAAUGAGAUGCGUGAGAGUGGUAGUAGUAUUGAGUAAGAUUGCUGCAUCUCUUUGAUUUAAAUGCCUGGCCUCGGAUCCACCUAACUGAUCCCUGGCUGCAAAAAAGCUUCAGUAUUUGUUGCAGCAGGUUGUUGAGAAGGUGAUUGGAGGAAUAAAAAUCUUAGGUCUUCAGCGAAUGCUGCACAAACGAAAAUGUUAAUGGAAACCUGUAAGUUUGUGAAUUGUUUGUUCUUGAAAAUAUUUUAAAUGUAUGCUCAUUUAGAAUAUGGUUCUACCGAAUGAUAUCCAAUUGGAAAGGUACAAACACAUUGAAAAGUGAAUCUCUCUUUCACGCCAAACCCUACAGUUUCCCCUUCUCAGAGGCAAAGACUGUUACUGGUUUUUAGAAUAUCCUUGGUCUUUGGAAUAAUUAUUUUAAGAUUUUCAUUUGAAACCACUUCUGUUGGAUACCAAAAGCAGGGAAAUAAAAUGAACAGAAGAAACAGAAAAUGUGGGAAUACUGUUUUUGCUCUCUUAAAAAAAAUGUUGAUAGCUAUUGGAAAAAGCUCUUCAGAACUUACUGCUUAUGUCACCUUAUCUAUUAAUACCGUUAAAUAACAAUCUGUGGGGCUUUAGGAUAAAGAACUCUGCCAGGGUUCAUUGUUUGUAUGUACAAUGAAUCCUCUGCUUGUAACAUGUAAAAUGAUAUUGAACACUAUAGCUCCUGUCACUAGAGGUUGCUUCAGGUUCUGCAUUUCAAUGAGCAGAAAUCUAAAUUGCCUGUGAUCCUAAAUUAUAGGGGCAUUUUAUGUAUAGAUGGAAAUGACUUAAUUGUCCAAUCAGCAUUUGAAAUAAGAGGCAUAUACCAGCUUUUGGCAUAUAGAAGAUGGGGAUUGUGGACUAAGCGGGAGGCUGUAAUAUUUCUAGAGCAGUUAUAGGAAAUAUUUCUGCCAUAAGAUAUUUAAUUACAAAGGCUUUGAAAAUGUACAACUUAAGCAUCAAUAGCGAGAUUUAUAUUUUUAUAUUUUAGAAUGGUUGUUUUAACAGCUUGCCAACACUAACAAUUUGCUAAGGAAAUUCAGUGAUAUUAGAGCUAGGUUAUUAAAGAUUAUAUUAAAUAAUUUAACUGUAUUUUGAAAAUGAUUAUGCUGUGCAUUUCCUUCUCUGUAUAAAAAUUAUUUCUAAAAAGUGCCACGCACCUCCCGAGCAAAUAAAAUAGAAUUCAGUAAGGAGUGAAGUACUGUUGUACGUGAGACCCUUUUUCUAGGCGAUAUGCAAAUAAAAAGUAGUUUAAAAAUGGUUGCUUACUAAUGUCUUCUUGACUGGUCUUUUGAAAUAAGCUUUCUUGCAGGGACAUUACAUUAAAGAUAAAAGCUAAGUGUGUCUUUUUUUUUUUUUUUUUUUUUUUUUAACGAAUUCAGUUCUUUCUGCCGGGCUGCAGUGGCUCAGGCCUGUAAUCCCAGCACUUUGGGAAGCCAAGGCUGGUGGAUCACGAGGUCAGGAGUUUGAGAACAGCCUGGCAAAGAUGGUGAAACCCCUUCACUACUAAAAAUACAAAAAAUUAGCCGGGCGUGGUGGCGAGCACCUGUAGUUCCAGCUACUCAGGAGGUUGAGGCAGAAGAAUGGCUUGAACCCGGGAGGCGGAGGUUGCAGUGAGCCGAGAUUGCACCACUGCACUCCAGCCUGGGCAACAGAAUGAGACUCUGUUUCAAAAAAAAAAAAAAUUCUGUCUUGUGCAUUAGCAGUAUGAUUCUGGAAUAAUUCAUUUUAACUUGGAGUACUGUAAUUGAAAAGUCUUUAAAAGAAAAUUAAAAAAUAAAUUUUAGUUUGGACAAUAGGGUAAGAUUUAAAAACUCUGCUAUUGUCCUAUCCCAAAUUGAUGGUUAAAAUAAAUGGCUUUGGGUUUUUGGUUUUUUUUUUUUUUUUUUUUUUUUUUGCGGGCAGGGGCGUUUUUUUUUUUUCUUUUCUUUCUUUUUUUUUUUUUUUGAGAAGGAAAUUUGCUCUGUUGCCCAGGCUGGAGUGCAGCGGCGCGAGCCUCCUGGGUUCAAGCAAUUCUCCUGUGUCAGCCUCCCAAGUAGCUGGGAUUACAGGUGCGCACCACCACGCCCGGCUAUUUUUGUAUUUUUAGUAGAGACAAAGUUUACCAUGUUGGCCAGGCUGGUCUCGAACUCCCAACCUCAGGUAAUCCACCUGCCUUGGCCUCCCAAAGUGCUGGGAUUACAGGUGUGAGCCAUCACGCCAGCCUGCAUUUUUUAAAAACUAUAUAAUUUCACACUUUGGCCAGAGGAGGUAGAGUACUUUUGAAAACUUUUA
rnacentral:lncRNA from 1 species